UACGGAGGAUGCAAGCGUUAUCCGGAAUGAUUGGGCGUAAAGCGUCCGCAGGUGGCUGUGUAAGUCUGCUGUCAAAGAGCAAAGCUCAACUUUGUAAAGGCAGUGGAAACUACACGGCUAGAGUGCGUUCGGGGCAGAGGGAAUUCCUGGUGUAGCGGUGAAAUGCGUAGAGAUCAGGAAGAACACCGGUGGCGAAGGCGCUCGGCUAGGCCGCAACUGACACUGAGGGACGAAAGCUAGGGGAGCGAAUGGG
rnacentral:rRNA from 1 species